CGCCUAAACCAGUAAUGCUGGCAUGGCUACAAAAUCCUACGCGAACAGAAACGGCCCCAUAGGCUGGCACUCUAUUCGCGUAGGUCAUGCUCCCGAAAGGGACAUGGGUAGUCUCCGAAAGGAGGUUGCC
rnacentral:ncRNA from 12 species